rnacentral:tRNA from 1 species
GUCACAGUGGCUAAGUGGUAAAGCGAUUGGCUUCCAACCAUGGGGGUCCAGGGUUCAAAUCUUGGUGAAGACU